UACGUAGGGUGCAAGCGUUGCUCGGAAUCAUUGGGCGUAAAGAGCGUGUAGGUGGCUAGAUAAGUCGGAUGUGAAAUCCCUCGGCUCAACCGAGGAAGUGCAUUCGAAACUAUCUAGCUCGAGGAUGGCAGAGGAAGGUGGAAUUCCUAGUGUAGAGGUGAAAUUCGUAGAUAUUAGGGGGAAUACCGGUGGCGAAGGCGGCCUUCUGGACCAUUCCUGACACUGAGACGCGAAAGCGUGGGUAGCAAACAGG
rnacentral:rRNA from 1 species